UGCCUUUUUCUGUCGAUAGAAGACUCACCUACAAACUUCACUGAAAAUGAAUCGUCAGUUGACAAUUGCUACAAUUUCGGUGGCCGUCAUCUUGUUGCUGUGUUCCGGACCAGUCGCUGGCCGCUUUAGUAAACACGAUGGAGAUUUUGCCCCAGGAUAUAACCUAGAUUUCCUCCAAACCGCCGAUCAAUACAAAGAA